GGGUUGUGAGGUUAAGCGACUAAGCGUACACGGUGGAUGCCCUGGCAGUCAGAGGCGAUGAAGGACGUGCUAAUCUGCGAUAAGCGUCGGUGAGGUGAUAUGAACCGUUAUAACCGGCGAUUUCCGAAUGGGGAAACCCAGUGUGUUUCGACACACUAUCAUUAACUGAAUCCAUAGGUUAAUGAGGCGAACCGGGGGAACUGAAACAUCUAAGUACCCCGAGGAAAAGAAAUCAACCGAGAUUCCCCCAGUAGCGGCGAGCGAACGGGGAGGAGCCCAGAGCCUGAAUCAGUGUGUGUGUUAGUGGAAGCGUCUGGAAAGGCGUGCGAUACAGGGUGACAGCCCCGUACACAAAAAUGCACAUAUUGUGAGCUCGAUGAGUAGGGCGGGACACGUGGUAUCCUGUCUGAAUAUGGGGGACCAUCCUCCAAGGCUAAAUACUCCUGACUGACCGAUAGUGAACCAGUACCGUGAGGGAAAGGCGAAAAGAACCCCGGCGAGGGGAGUGAAAAAGAACCUGAAACCGUGUACGUACAAGCAGUGGGAGCCUCUUUAUGGGGUGACUGCGUACCUUUUGUAUAAUGGGUCAGCGACUUAUAUUCUGUAGCAAGGUUAACCGAAUAGGGGAGCCGAAGGGAAACCGAGUCUUAACUGGGCGUUAAGUUGCAGGGUAUAGACCCGAAACCCGGUGAUCUAGCCAUGGGCAGGUUGAAGGUUGGGUAACACUAACUGGAGGACCGAACCGACUAAUGUUGAAAAAUUAGCGGAUGACUUGUGGCUGGGGGUGAAAGGCCAAUCAAACCGGGAGAUAGCUGGUUCUCCCCGAAAGCUAUUUAGGUAGCGCCUCGUGAAUUCAUCUCCGGGGGUAGAGCACUGUUUCGGCAAGGGGGUCAUCCCGACUUACCAACCCGAUGCAAACUGCGAAUACCGGAGAAUGUUAUCACGGGAGACACACGGCGGGUGCUAACGUCCGUCGUGAAGAGGGAAACAACCCAGACCGCCAGCUAAGGUCCCAAAGUCAUGGUUAAGUGGGAAACGAUGUGGGAAGGCCCAGACAGCCAGGAUGUUGGCUUAGAAGCAGCCAUCAUUUAAAGAAAGCGUAAUAGCUCACUGGUCGAGUCGGCCUGCGCGGAAGAUGUAACGGGGCUAAACCAUGCACCGAAGCUGCGGCAGCGACACUAUGUGUUGUUGGGUAGGGGAGCGUUCUGUAAGCCUGUGAAGGUGGCCUGUGAGGGUUGCUGGAGGUAUCAGAAGUGCGAAUGCUGACAUAAGUAACGAUAAAGCGGGUGAAAAGCCCGCUCGCCGGAAGACCAAGGGUUCCUGUCCAACGUUAAUCGGGGCAGGGUGAGUCGACCCCUAAGGCGAGGCCGAAAGGCGUAGUCGAUGGGAAACAGGUUAAUAUUCCUGUACUUGGUGUUACUGCGAAGGGGGGACGGAGAAGGCUAUGUUGGCCGGGCGACGGUUGUCCCGGUUUAAGCGUGUAGGCUGGUUUUCCAGGCAAAUCCGGAAAACCAAGGCUGAGGCGUGAUGACGAGGCACUACGGUGCUGAAGCGACAAAUGCCCUGCUUCCAGGAAAAGCCUCUAAGCAUCAGGUAACAUCAAAUCGUACCCCAAACCGACACAGGUGGUCAGGUAGAGAAUACCAAGGCGCUUGAGAGAACUCGGGUGAAGGAACUAGGCAAAAUGGUGCCGUAACUUCGGGAGAAGGCACGCUGAUAUGUAGGUGAAGCGACUUGCUCGUGGAGCUGAAAUCAGUCGAAGAUACCAGCUGGCUGCAACUGUUUAUUAAAAACACAGCACUGUGCAAACACGAAAGUGGACGUAUACGGUGUGACGCCUGCCCGGUGCCGGAAGGUUAAUUGAUGGGGUUAGCGGUAACGCGAAGCUCUUGAUCGAAGCCCCGGUAAACGGCGGCCGUAACUAUAACGGUCCUAAGGUAGCGAAAUUCCUUGUCGGGUAAGUUCCGACCUGCACGAAUGGCGUAAUGAUGGCCAGGCUGUCUCCACCCGAGACUCAGUGAAAUUGAACUCGCUGUGAAGAUGCAGUGUACCCGCGGCAAGACGGAAAGACCCCGUGAACCUUUACUAUAGCUUGACACUGAACAUUGAGCCUUGAUGUGUAGGAUAGGUGGGAGGCUUUGAAGUGUGGACGCCAGUCUGCAUGGAGCCGACCUUGAAAUACCACCCUUUAAUGUUUGAUGUUCUAACGUUGGCCCGUAAUCCGGGUUGCGGACAGUGUCUGGUGGGUAGUUUGACUGGGGCGGUCUCCUCCUAAAGAGUAACGGAGGAGCACGAAGGUUGGCUAAUCCUGGUCGGACAUCAGGAGGUUAGUGCAAUGGCAUAAGCCAGCUUGACUGCGAGCGUGACGGCGCGAGCAGGUGCGAAAGCAGGUCAUAGUGAUCCGGUGGUUCUGAAUGGAAGGGCCAUCGCUCAACGGAUAAAAGGUACUCCGGGGAUAACAGGCUGAUACCGCCCAAGAGUUCAUAUCGACGGCGGUGUUUGGCACCUCGAUGUCGGCUCAUCACAUCCUGGGGCUGAAGUAGGUCCCAAGGGUAUGGCUGUUCGCCAUUUAAAGUGGUACGCGAGCUGGGUUUAGAACGUCGUGAGACAGUUCGGUCCCUAUCUGCCGUGGGCGCUGGAGAACUGAGGGGGGCUGCUCCUAGUACGAGAGGACCGGAGUGGACGCAUCACUGGUGUUCGGGUUGUCAUGCCAAUGGCACUGCCCGGUAGCUAAAUGCGGAAGAGAUAAGUGCUGAAAGCAUCUAAGCACGAAACUUGCCCCGAGAUGAGUUCUCCCUGACUCCUUGAGAGUCCUGAAGGAACGUUGAAGACGACGACGUUGAUAGGCCGGGUGUGUAAGCGCAGCGAUGCGUUGAGCUAACCGGUACUAAUGAACCGUGAGGCUUAACCUUACAACGCCGAAG
rnacentral:rRNA from 1 species